rnacentral:ribozyme from 1 species
AGCAAUACUGCACUGGUAAGGUAUGGAUCCGAACCCUCUUGAAGGUCAACAAAGGCUCUCCAUACCCCCUUCCCCCCACUUCGACUCAAAACGUCCCCGGCGUAUAGAACGGUAACAUGUCUCUCCAAAUAUCUGAGCUUGGGUAUACGGGGAAACCCAACCCCUUGGGAAGAUGGGUGAUAUGGCUAAAUUGAGCGGA